AUACGGGUAAAGUGGCUUCUGGGCGGAAGGUACACUAUAGGCUCGGGGAGGUAAGCGGCGGCAGGCCGGCGGUUGGUGUGUCCCGGGUGUGGGGAGGCGACAGAGCCCUGGCACUUGAGGGUUGAGGGGGCCUCCCCAGCGCGGCGAACCGUCUAGCCUCCGGAGGCCAGGCCGUGAGUGCGGGAGGUAUACGCCAAGGCGGAAGAAUUUUGCCACUCACUACCUGUGUGACCUCGGGUAAAUUAGCCUUGGAACGUCAGUUUCUUCGUCUCUAUAAUUGAAAUAAUAAUAGUACCUCUCUCAGGAUUGUUGUGAGCCGUCAGUGAAACACUUAGAGCAGUUUCUGGCACAUGGUAGAAUUGGGCUAUUUGCUGAAGCUUCUUGGUGGCCCUUGCUAGCCCAGGAAGAAACUUACAUUUUGAUUUUUUUGUACCAUGGCUUUGGUUCACAAAUUGCUGCGUGGUACUUAUUUUCUCAGAAAAUUCUCUAAGCCAACUUCUGCCUUGUAUCCAUUUUUGGGUAUUCGCUUUGCAGAGUAUUCCAGUAGUCUUCAGAAACCAGUGGCUUCUCCUGGCAAAGCCUCCUCACAGAGGAAGACUGAAGGGGAUUUGCAAGGAGAUCACCAGAAAGAAGUUGCUUUGGAUAUAACUUCUUCUGAGGAGAAGCCUGAUGUUAGUUUCGAUAAAGCAAUUAGAGAUGAAGCAAUAUACCAUUUUAGGCUUUUGAAGGAUGAAAUUGUGGAUCAUUGGAGAGGACCGGAAGGCCACCCUCUGCAUGAGGUCUUGCUGGAACAAGCCAAGGUUGUCUGGCAAUUCCGGGGGAAAGAAGAUUUGGAUAAGUGGACAGUGACUUCUGAUAAGACGAUUGGAGGCAGAAGUGAAGUGUUUUUGAAAAUGGGCAAGAAUAACCAAAGUGCACUGCUAUAUGGAACUCUGAGCUCUGAGGCGCCUCAGGACGGGGAGUCUACCCGAAGUGGGUACUGUGCAAUGAUAUCCAGGAUUCCAAGGGGUGCUUUUGAGAGGAAGAUGUCUUACGAUUGGUCCCAGUUCAAUACUCUGUAUCUCCGUGUACGUGGGGAUGGUCGGCCUUGGAUGGUGAAUAUCAAGGAGGACACAGAUUUCUUCCAGAGGACGAAUCAGAUGUAUAGUUACUUCAUGUUCACCCGCGGGGGACCCUACUGGCAGGAGGUCAAGGCAACUCUGCUAAAGUUGGUGUCCUAGGCCUGCGUGGUGGCUCACACCUGUAAUCCCAGCACUUUGGGAGGCCAAGGCGGACGGAUCACUUGAGGUUGGGAGUUCGACACCAGCCUGACCAACAUGGAGAAACCCUGUUGUCUCUACUAAAAAAAAUACAAAAUUAGCUGGGCGUGGUGGCGCAUGCCUGUAAUCCCAGCUACUCGGGAGGCUAAGGCAGGAUAAUUGCUUGAACCCAGGAGGCGGAGGUUUCGAUUCCUUUUUCCAAAUUUUUCUUCUCUAAUCGAGGAAGAAUCCGGGAUGUUCAGCAUGAGCUUCCGCUUGAUAAGAUCUCUUCUAUAGGAUUCACCUUGGCUGAUAAAGUGGAUGGUCCAUUCUUCCUGGAGAUAGAUUUUAUUGGCGUGUUUACUGAUCCAGCUCAUACAGAAGAAUUUGCCUAUGAAAAUUCUCCAGAGCUUAACCCAAGGCUUUUUAAAUAAAGAUCAUAUGGUAGUUUUGUUUUACUAAUCUAAGGGUACUAGCAUCUACAAUGAUAUAGACAAAAUAAAAUAUUUCUUUAAUGGCAUCCAA